rnacentral:lncRNA from 1 species
UUCUUAUUUCAUUGCAAAGCGGCAAACGACUACAUUAGAUACCCUUCAACAGACGUUCAGAGACAAGAAGGCGCGCUAACACAUGCAAACACUUAUACAACGACACAUACUCGUUAUUCCCUCGAAAGAAAGAGACUGCAGCAUCACCAACGAACGCCUCUAGAAUGCAGCGCUUCUUGUAUGAAUUCAGCCAGAGAUUUCGAUGGCUUUCACCUCGGGCUUCUUCUUCUCCUCUUCUUUCGGCACGGUCACCGUCAGCACCCCGUUCUCCAUGGACGCCUCCACCCGGUCCACCUUGGCAUUCUCCGGCAGCCGAAACCGCCGGAGGAAUUUGCCGCUGCUUCUCUCGACGCCUGCCAUGAUGCACCUUGGACUCCCCUUUGAUCAAAGACAAAAAAAGAAAAGAAAUCAUGCUUUCAUUCAACAAGAGGGAGAUAAAAUAUCCAAGUAAAUUCGCAAAGACUCUUCUUAUUUCAUGGCAAAGCGGCAAACGACUACAUUAGAUACCCUUCAACAGACGUUCAGAGACAAGAAGGCGCGCUAACACAUGCAAACACUUAUACAACGACACAUACUCGUUAUUCCCUCUAAAGAAAGAGGCUGCAGCAUCACCAACGAACGCCUCUAGAAUGCACCGCUUCUUGUA